AAUGUCUGCUUUGAAUUAGAAAAACAUAAAGGCCACUUUUAGUCGGCUUUAUUCGUCCGAGGAACCGAAAAGCUAAUUAGUUCGCAAGUUCCUCGAUUAUCAUGUCAACUAUGUCUGAAUUUCCACCACGUCUAUUUUUGAAUCACCUUGCCACCCAACUAUGACGCCUUCCUUUUACGUAGCGCUAGUGGUUAGCAUGUCUGCCUUGUAGUUCUGAGGUUCAGGGUUUGAAUCUUGGCUCCGGGCUUCGCUUGUGGAGUUUGCAUCAUCCGUCCAUCUACUGUAUAUACUGUUUACUGUUUCUUCACACGCAUGACUCCGUAUCACGCGUGCGGUAGACGCCUAGCUGAGGCCAACCUAAGGAGCAGGGGGGCAAUCUUGUGAUGCUGUCAGCGUGAAGUGUCACGUGCGCACUCCCUACUGGCAGUCAAUGGUGGGAAAAGUGUCUGGCUCCUAUACGCUUACCCACCCCCCACCCCACCAUUGACUGUGCAAGAACAUUCAGCUGCCGAGCAAGCGGCGGAAAGCAGACAUGUUGGCGUGUUGCGGCCAAAAAAGACACGCGUGUGCUCAUCGGCUAACGAGGACUCGUGGCCCUGCUAACGAGGACGCGUGGCCCUGCUGUGCGCCUCUGGUCAUCCGCCAUCUUGUAAUCCCUACAGGCACGAGAUGGGAGACUAUCGUUUAACAUCACUUUCAGGAAAUGAAAAAUAUCGGUCGCACAGUUCUCUAAAUAAGAGGCGAAGCGUGCGUGCUUCAAGCUGUUUAUUUGUGACUCACAGGUUCCUCAAGUGCAACUGCGGAGCCACUUGAAAGGCUGAAAAUACCAACAAGCCCUUUCUCUCUCUCCCUCCCUCUCUCUCUCUCGCUCUCUUGGCUUCGCCCACCAACGCAGUCAUCGCACUAUCAACACGACUCGCCGCCCAGACGCUUCUGCUUUCCCGCCGCCUUCACUGUGAGAGUCAAAGUGGUCCAGUUGGUCUAACGUGAAAGGAAAAUCGAUGAAAAAAAGGCGUGACGGUUCACGUCAACGAUGAAGCCUAUACAUGGAAAUUGUCAAUAAUAGUGAACGUGAAACUGUAAAAUAGUCCAUGUCUAUCUAUUACUGAAAUAGUUCACAUUAAAGCAAUAUUGAAACCAAGAUGUCAGCACGAAAUAGUCGUAAAUUUUGAAAAAAAAGUUGCCACUGUUCACAUGUAGAAAACUAUGCUUUUAUGUUAAAACGUCAGUAGUGAACAUGAAACAGCGAAAUAGUUUGCAUUAAAGCAGUACUGAAAACAAAACAAAAAAAAUCCUAUAAUUGCCGAAGACGUUCUGGCUGUUGACAUGUAGAAGACAACAGUUUUAUGUCAGUAGUGAAUGUGAAACUGUGAAACCGUCCACUUUUAUUCUGAAAUAGUCCCCAAUAAAGCAAUAUUAAAAGUUCUCAACACGAAAGAAUAAUCCUAACAUUGACAAAAGGUUCAUCUGUUCAAAUGGAGGAGACUGCGCUUCUACAUAUAAAUGUCAGUAGUGAACAUCAAAUAGCAAAAUAGCCCAUACGUAAU